CAAUAGCGUAUAUUAAAGUUGUUGCGGUUAAAAAGCUCGUAGUUGGAUUUCUGGUGGACUGAAUCUUCCUUUCUCUAUGAGAUUGCGAGUGAUUCUAGUCUCACCAUCUUUGUAGAGAGCUAUUUUGGCAUUUAUUUGUCGAUUUAGGGAUCUACAUCUUUUACUGUGAAAAAAUUAGAGUGUUUAAAGCAAGCAUUUCGCUUCUGAAUACAUUAGCAUGGAAUAAUAAGAUAGGAUCUCAGUCUAUUUUGUUGGUUUGUUACCGAGAUAAUGAUUAACAGGAACAAUUGGGGGUAUUCGUAUUUAAUUGUCAGAGGUGAAAUUCUUGGAUUUAUGAAAGACGAACUACUGCGAAAGCAUUUACCAAGGAUGUUUUCAUUAAUCAAGAACGAAAGUUUGGGGAUCGAAGACGAUCAGAUACCAU
rnacentral:rRNA from 1 species